rnacentral:rRNA from 1 species
AUUGAACGCUGGCGGCAUGCUUUACACAUGCAAGUCGAACGGUAACAGGCCGCAAGGUGCUGACGAGUGGCGAACGGGUGAAUAAUGCAUCGGAACGUGCCCAGUCGUGGGGGAUAACGCAGCGAAAGCUGCGCUAAUACCGCAUACGAUCUAUGGAUGAAAGCGGGGGACCGUAAGGCCUCGCGCGAUUGGAGCGGCCGAUGUCGGAUUAGGUAGUUGGUGGGGUAAAGGCUCACCAAGCCAACGAUCUGUAGCUGGUCUGAGAGGACGACCAGCCACACUGGGACUGAGACACGGCCCAGACUCCUACGGGAGGCAGCAGUGGGGAAUUUUGGACAAUGGGCGCAAGCCUGAUCCAGCAAUGCCGCGUGCAGGAAGAAGGCCUUCGGGUUGUAAACUGCUUUUGUACGGAACGAAACGGUCCGGGUUAAUACCCUGGGCUAAUGACGGUACCGUAAGAAUAAGCACCGGCUAACUACGUGCCAGCCGCCGCGUAA